rnacentral:rRNA from 1 species
AACGAACGCUGGCGGCAGGCUUAACACAUGCAAGUCGAGCGGGCCCUUCGGGGUCAGCGGCGGACGGGUUAGUAAUGCGUGGGAACGGACCCAUUGCUACGGAAUAGCUGCGGGAAACUGGCUUUAAUACCGAAUGUGCCCUUCGGAGGAAAGAUUUAUCGGCAAAGGAUCGGCCCGCGGUGGAUUAGCUAGUUGGUGGGGUAAUGGGCUAGCAAGGCGACGAUCCAUAGCGGGUCUGAGAGGAUGAGCAGCCACAUUGGGACUGAGACACGGCCAAAACUCCUACGGGAGGCAGCAGUGGGGAAUAUUGGACAAUGGGCGCAAGCCUGAUCCAGCCAUGCCGCGUGAGUGAUGAAGGCCUUAGGGUUGUAAAGCUCUUUCACCGGAGAAGAGAAUGACGGUAUCCGGAGAAGAAGCCCCGGCUAACUUCGUGCCAGCCGCCGCGGUAACAC